rnacentral:rRNA from 1 species
GAUGAACGCUGGCGGCGUGCCUAACACAUGCAAGUCGAACGGAACUUCUUUGAUAGAAUUCUUCGGAAGGAAAUUGAUUAAGUUUAGUGGCGGACGGGUGAGUAACGCGUGAGUAACCUGCCUUUGAGAGGGGGAAUAACUUCCCGAAAGGGAUGCUAAUACCGCAUAACGCAUAGAAGUCGCAUGGCUUUUAUGCCAAAGAUUUAUCGCUCAAAGAUGGACUCGCGUCCGAUUAGCCAGUUGCGGGGGUAACGGGCCCACCAAAGCGACGAUCGGUAGCCGGACUGAGAGGUUGAACGGCCACAUUGGGACUGAGACACGGCCCAGACUCCUACGGGAGGCAGCAGUGGGGGAUAUUGCGCAAUGGGGGGAACCCUGACGCAGCAACGCCGCGUGAAGGAUGAAGGUUUUCGGAUUGUAAACUUCUUUUAUUUAGGACGAACAAUGACGGUACUAAAUGAAUAAGCUCCGGCUAACUACGUG